rnacentral:rRNA from 1 species
UACAGAGGUCUCAAGCGUUGUUCGGAUUCAUUGGGCGUAAAGGGUGCGUAGGCGGCGCGGUAAGUCGGGUGUGAAAUCCCCAGGCUUAACCUGGGAACUGCAUCCGAUACUGGAUGGCUUGAAUCCGGGAGAGGGAUGCAGAAUUCCAGGUGUAGCGGUGAAAUGCGUAGAUAUCUGGAGGAAUACCGGUGGCGAAGGCGGCAUCCUGGACCGGCAUUGACGCUGAGUGAGCGAAAGCCAGGGGAGCAAACGGG